rnacentral:rRNA from 1 species
CAUCAUAGCGAGGAAAAGAAACCAACAGGGAUUGCCCUAGUAACGGCGAGUGAAGCGGCAAUAGCUCAAAUUUGAAAGCUGGCUUACGCCCGCAUUGUAAUUUGUAGAGGAUGCUUUUAGGCAGCCGCCGGUCUAAGUUCCUUGGAACAGGACGUCAUAGAGGGUGAGAAUCCCGUAUGUGACCGGCUCUGGCACCUUCUGUAAAGCUCCUUCGACGAGUCGAGUUGUUUGGGAAUGCAGCUCUAAAUGGGAGGUAAAUUUCUUCUAAAGCUAAAUAUUGGCGAGAGACCGAUAGCGCACAAGUAGAGUGAUCGAAAGAUGAAAAGCACUUUGGAAAGAGAGUUAAAAAGCACGUGAAAUUGUUGAAAGGGAAGCGCUUGCAAUCAGACUUGGACUUGACUGUUCAACAGGUCUUCUGACCUGCCUAUUCAGUCUUGUCCAGGCCAGCAUCAGUUUCGGCGGCCGGAUAAAGGCCCUGGGAAUGUGGCCUCUCCUUCGGGAGAGGUGUUAUAGCCCAGGGUGUAAUACGGCCAGCUGGGACUGAGGUCCGCGCUUCGGCUAGGAUGCUGGCGUAAUGGUUGUAAGCGGCCCGUCUUGAAACACGGACCAAGGAGUCUAACAUCUAUGCGAGUGUUAGGGUGUCAAACCCUUACGCGUAAUGAAAGUGAACGGAGGUGAGAACCCGCAAGGGUGCAUCAUCGACCGAUCCUGAUGUCUUCGGAUGGAUUUGAGUAUGAGCAUAGCUGUUGGGACCCGAAAGAUGGUGAACUAUGCCUGAAUAGGGUGAAGCCAGAGGAAACUCUGGUGGAGGCUCGCAGCGGUUCUGACGUGCAAAUCGAUCGUCAAAUUUGGGUAUAGGGGCGAAAGACUAAUCGAACCAUCUAGUACUGUCUG